AGUCGAACGGCAGCACGGGUGCUUGCACCUGGUGGCGAGUGGCGAACGGGUGAGUAAUACAUCGGAACAUGUCCUGUAGUGGGGGAUAGCCCGGCGAAAGCCGGAUUAAUACCGCAUACGAUCUACGGAUGAAAGCGGGGGACCUUCGGGCCUCGCGCUAUAGGGUUGGCCGAUGGCUGAUUAGCUAGUUGGUGGGGUAAAGGCCUACCAAGGCGACGAUCAGUAGCUGGUCUGAGAGGACGACCAGCCACACUGGGACUGAGACACGGCCCAGACUCCUACGGGAGGCAGCAGUGGGGAAUUUUGGACAAUGGGCGAAAGCCUGAUCCAGCAAUGCCGCGUGUGUGAAGAAGGCCUUCGGGUUGUAAAGCACUUUUGUCCGGAAAGAAAUCCUUGGCUCUAAUACAGUCGGGGGAUGACGGUACCGGAAGAAUAAGCACCGGCUAACUACGUGCCAGCAGCCGCGGUAAUACGUAGGGUGCGAGCGUUAAUCGGAAUUACUGGGCGUAAAGCGUGCGCAGGCGGUUUGCUAAGACCGAUGUGAAAUCCCCGGGCUCAACCUGGGAACUGCAUUGGUGACUGGCAGGCUAGAGUAUGGCAGAGGGGGGUAGAAUUCCACGUGUAGCAGUGAAAUGCGUAGAGAUGUGGAGGAAUACCGAUGGCGAAGGCAGCCCCCUGGGCCAAUACUGACGCUCAUGCACGAAAGCGUGGGAGCAAACAGAUUAGAUACCCUGGUAGUCCACGCCCCUAAACAAUGUCAACUAGUUGGUGGGGAUUCCUUUCC
rnacentral:rRNA from 1 species